rnacentral:lncRNA from 1 species
AUGGGGUAUAUGUGGGGCUAUAUGGGGUGAUGUGGUGUGCUAUGGGGGCAUAUGGGGUGGCUAUGGGGCACUAUGGGGCAGCUAUGGGUUGAUGUGGGGUGGCUGUGGGGCUCUAUGGGGCAUAUGGGGUCCCUAUGGGGUGCUAUGGGGCUGGCUAUGGGGCACUGUGGGUCUCUAUGGGGCUCUAUAGGGUCACUAUGGGGUCCCUAUGGGGCACUUAUGGGGCUGGGGGGUCCCUAUGGGUCGCUAUGGGUCUGGCUAUGGGUCACUAUAGGGCGCUAUGGGGUCUCUUUGGGGCAGUUAUGGGGUAUCUAUGGGGUCCCUAUGGGUCGCUGUGGGUCUCACGGCCCCGCCCCCCAGAGGUGUCCCUGGAGGCCCCGGAGGAGGAGCCCCGGCCCCGGCCCCGCCCCCUGGCCCCGCCCGAGGAGCGGCGCCCCACGCGGGCCCCGCCCCCCCCGCCCCUCCCGGAGCUUCCGGAAGUCCCGGAGCCGGAGCUGCCGCCAUUGGCCGGCCCCGCCCUGCGCAGGCUGCUGCUGGAGGGGGCGUGGCGGCCGGAAGGGGCGGAGCUUCUGGGGCUCCUCCCCCCGGCCCCGCCCCGCGCGCUGGUGGCCCGCCUCUUCCGGGUGGCGCUGGAGCUCUGCGCCGCCGGUUGGCUGCGGCUGGCCCAGCCCCGCCCCUUCGCUCCCAUUGGGCUGCGCCCCGGGCCCCGCCCCCCCCCGCAGGAAUAAAAAAGGGGGCGUGGCCUCCGCGUGACUCCGCCCACUCUCGUCUUUUAUUGGCUGUUGGGUGAUGACGUCACCGAGGGGGCGGGGCCGAACAGGGCGUGGCGCAGGCGGGCGGCGUCGGGGGGCGGGAGCUGCGCCAAGGCCCCGCCCACCAGCUCCGGGCUCCGCCCCCAGGCCUGGCGCAGCAGCGAGGCCACGCCCACCUCCAGCCCUGGGGGCGGGGAC